UUUUUCACAAUAAGGGAUGAGGUGUAGAGGAGCUGUGCGUUUGGCUGGCUGCCGGCCCAGUUAUUAUUGAGUGAGUGCUCAGAGAAGGUGGAAGGCCUGUAUGGCCGGGUGGGCUAGCCAAACAGCGGCUCCGGAGAGUCUAGUUGUUUGAGAGUGCAACUUAAAGUUGGUGGUAAAUUUCAUCAAAGGUUAAAUAUCUGGAGGGACUAAUAGCGAACAAGUACCGUGAGGGAAAGUUGAAAAGGACUCUGGAGAGGGAGUUAAAAAGUACGUGAAACCACAUUGAGUAAAACGGAUAACCGUGUCGUUGGGGCGCGUUCUAUCAAUAGCGACGCUGGUCUUGAUACGUCGCAUCUCUAGGCUGCGUCAGCAGCUGAACGCUUGCGGCUGACAGGACUGGCGUNUCUGUGCACUAGUGCGCGUUCGCCAAUUGAGAAGCCACGAGGUCGCCACCUUGGCCCGCAGCAGUUCGUACCUGGUGCGUAGUUGUGAGCCUCUCUGGCUGACAUCGUGGUUUGGCCUCUGGCAGGGCCGCGGACCUAUUUGUCGGGCUGUGGUGCCGCUCCCGUCUAGUUGUGUUGAUUCGCUUCUACUGGGGGCGCGCCGUUAUUCCCUAUGACAGGUCCGCCAUCAAUGUGUGACAUGAGUUAUUCGACCCGUCUUGAAACACGGAUGAGUGAGCAGGCUCAAAGGCGAAGUGAAAUGCGAACGUUUUGCUAAUUGUGGUUAGGCCGCAACAAAGCGAAAGACCAUUGGUACUUUCUGGUACUUUUGGACCGCGAGCGUGACGUCAGAGACCCGAAAGAUGGUGAGCUAUAUCUGGUCAAGAUGAAGCCAGAGGAAACUCUGGUGGAGGUCUGAAGUUGUUCUGACGUGCAAAUCGAUAAUCUGAUCUGGGUAUAGGGGCGAAAGACUAAUCGAACCAUCUAGUAGCUGGUUCCUUCCGAAGUUUCCCUCAGGAUAGCAAGCGUACGAGUUAGUUUCAUCCCGUAAAGCGAAUGAUUAGAGGUAUUGGGGUGUAUACAGCUUCAACCUAUUCUCAAACUUUUAAUGGGUGUGAGUGUUCUUUCUUUAUUGAAGAACGCUGCUAAAUAAGUAUGCUUAGUGGGCCAUUUUUGGUAAGCAGAACUGGCGCUGUGGGUUGAACCAAUUGUCGAGUUAAAGUGCCUAAAGCCCAAAUGCUCAUGAGAUCUGUAAAGGGUGUUAGUU
rnacentral:rRNA from 1 species